AUUGAACGCUGGCGGCAGGCUUAACACAUGCAAGUCGAGCGGGGUGAUGGUGCUUGCACUAUCACUUAGCGGCGGACGGGUGAGUAAUGCUUAGGAAUCUGCCUAUUAGUGGGGGACAACAUCUCGAAAGGGAUGCUAAUACCGCAUACGUCCUACGGGAGAAAGCAGGGGAUCACUUGUGACCUUGCGCUAAUAGAUGAGCCUAAGUCGGAUUGCUAGUUGGUGGGGUAAAGGCCUACCAAGGCGACGAUCUGUAGCGGGUCUGAGAGGAUGAUCCGCCACACUGGGACUGAGACACGGCCCAGACUCCUACGGGAGGCAGCAGUGGGGAAUAUUGGACAAUGGGGGGAACCCUGAUCCAGCCAUGCCGCGUGUGUGAAGAAGGCCUUAUGGUUGUAAAGCACUUUAAGCGAGGAGGAGGCUCUUUUGGUUAAUACCCAAGAUGAAUGGACGUUACUCGCAGAAUAAGCACCGGCUAACUCUGUGCCAGCAGCCGCGGUAA
rnacentral:rRNA from 1 species